GAUGAACGCUGGCGGCGUGCCUAAUACAUGCAAGUCGAGCGAACAGACGAGGAGCUUGCUCCUCUGACGUUAGCGGCGGACGGGUGAGUAACACGUGGAUAACCUACCUAUAAGACUGGGAUAACUUCGGGAAACCGGAGCUAAUACCGGAUAAUAUAUUGAACCGCAUGGUUCAAUAGUGAAAGACGGUUUUGCUGUCACUUAUAGAUGUAUCCGCGCCGCAUUAGCUAGUUGGUAAGGCAACGGCUUACCAAGGCAACGAUGCGUAGCCGACCUGAGAGGGUGAUCGGCCACACUGGAACUGAGACACGGUCCAGACUCCUACGGGAGGCAGCAGUAGGGAAUCUUCAGCAAUGGGCGAAAGCUUGACGGAGCAACGCCGCGUGAGUGAGGAAGGUCUUCGGAUCGUAAAACUCUGUUAUUAGGGAAGAACAAAUGUGUAAGUAACUAUGCACGUCUUGACGGUACCUAAUCAGAAAGCCACGGCUAACUACGU
rnacentral:rRNA from 1 species